GACGAACGCUGGCGGCGUGCCUAAUACAUGCAAGUUGAGCGCUGAAGGUUGGUACUUGUACCAACUGGAUGAGCAGCGAACGGGUGAGUAACGCGUGGGGAAUCUGCCUUUGAGCGGGGGACAACAUUUGGAAACGAAUGCUAAUACCGCAUAAAAACUUUAAACACAAGUUUUAAGUUUGAAAGAUGCAAUUGCAUCACUCAAAGAUGAUCCCGCGUUGUAUUAGCUAGUUGGUGAGGUAAAGGCUCACCAAGGCGAUGAUACAUAGCCGACCUGAGAGGGUGGUCGGCCACAUUGGGACUGAGACACGGCCCAAACUCCUACGGGAGGCAGCAGUAGGGAAUCUUCGGCAAUGGACGAAAGUCUGACCGAGAAACGCCGCGUGAGUGAAGAAGGUUUUCGGAUCGUAAAACUCUGUUGGUAGAGAAGAACGUUGGUGAGAGUGGAAAGCUCAUCAAGUGACGGUAACUACCCAGAAAGGGACGGCUAACUACGUG
rnacentral:rRNA from 1 species